rnacentral:rRNA from 1 species
CCCUUAGAUGUCCGGGGCCGCACGCGCGCUACACUGAAGGAAUCAGCGUGGCUUUCUCCCUGACCCGAAAGGGUUGGGAAACCCGUUGAAUCUCCUUCGUGAUAGGGAUUGGGGCUUGAAAUUGUUCCCCAUGAACGAGGAAUUCCCAGUAAGCGCGAGUCAUAAGCUCGCGUUGAUUACGUCCCUGCCCUGUGUACACACCGCCCGUCGCUACUACCGAUUGAACGGUUUAGUGAGGGCCUCGGAUUGGUCUCGGCCCGCUCUUUACCGGGCGGCGCCGUUGGUCGAGAAGACGCUCGAACUUGAUCGUUUAGAGGAAGUAAAAGUCGUAACA